rnacentral:rRNA from 1 species
AGAGUUUGAUCCUGGCUCAGAUUGAACGCUGGCGGCAUGCCUUACACAUGCAAGUCGAACGGUAACAGCUCUUCGGAGGCUGACGAGUGGCGAACGGGUGAGUAAUACAUCGGAACGUGCCCGAUCGUGGGGGAUAACGGAGCGAAAGCUUUGCUAAUACCGCAUACGAUCUACGGAUGAAAGCAGGGGACCCUCGGGCCUUGCGCGAACGGAGCGGCCGAUGGCAGAUUAGGUAGUUGGUGGGAUAAAAGCUUACCAAGCCGACGAUCUGUAGCUGGUCUGAGAGGACGACCAGCCACACUGGGACUGAGACACGGCCCAGACUCCUACGGGAGGCAGCAGUGGGGAAUCUUGGACAAUGGGCGAAAGCCUGAUCCAGCAAUGCCGCGUGCAGGAUGAAGGCCUUCGGGUUGUAAACUGCUUUUGUACGGAACGAAAAGUCUCGGGAUAAUACCCUGGGACCAUGACGUACCGUAAGUAUCAGCCCCCCCCCAACC